rnacentral:rRNA from 1 species
GACGAACGCUGGCGGCGUGCUUAACACAUGCAAGUCGAACGGAUCAGGGGAGCUUGCUUUUCUGGUUAGUGGCGAACGGGUGAGUAACACGUGAGUAACCUGCCCUUCACUCUGGGAUAACUCCGGGAAACCGGGGCUAAUACUGGAUACGACUCGAACAGGCAUCUGUAUCGGGUGGAAAGAUUUAUUGGUGGAGGAUGGACUCGCGGCCUAUCAGCUUGUUGGUGAGGUAAUGGCNCACCAAGGCGACGACGGGUAGCCGGCCUGAGAGGCGAUCGGCCACACUGGGACUGAGACACGGCCCAGACUCCUACGGGAGGCAGCAGUGGGGAAUAUUGCACAAUGGGCGAAAGCCUGAUGCAGCGACGCCGCGUGAGGGAUGAAGGCCUCGG